rnacentral:rRNA from 1 species
CCGGCGCACGGGUGAGUAACACGUAUGCAACCUGGCCGUCACAGGUGGAUAACCGGAAGAAAUUCCGACUAAUACAGCAUAACACUCCUGAGGGACAUCCUUCGGGAGUCAAAGGGGGCGACCCCGGUCACGGAUGGGCAUGCGGCGCAUUAGGUAGUUGGUGGGGCAGCGGCCCACCAAGCCGACGAUGCGUAGGGGUUCUGAGAGGAAGGUCCCCCACAUUGGAACUGAGACACGGUCCAAACUCCUACGGGAGGCAGCAG